UACAGAGGGGGCAAGCGUUGUUCGGAAUUAUUGGGCGUAAAGGGCGCGUAGGCGGCCGGAUAAGUCUGACGUGAAAUCCCUCGGCCUAACCGGGGAACUGCGUUUGAUACUGUCCAGCUCGAGUCCGGGAGAGGGUAGUGGAAUUCCCAGUGUAGCGGUGAAAUGCGUAGAUAUUGGGAGGAACACCGGUGGCGAAGGCGGCUACCUGGACCGGUACUGACGCUGAGGCGCGAAAGCUAGGGUAGCAAACAGG
rnacentral:rRNA from 1 species